rnacentral:rRNA from 1 species
UACGUAGGUGGCAAGCGUUGUCCGGAUUUACUGGGCGUAAAGAGCGCGCAGGCGGUCGUUCAAGUCGCGUGUGAAAGCCCCCGGCUCAACUGGGGAGGGUCACGCGAUACUGAUCGACUCGAAGGCAGGAGAGGGAAGUGGAAUUCCCGGUGUAGCGGUGAAAUUCGUAGAUAUUCGCAAGAACACCAGUGGCGAAGGCGGCUCACUGGCCCGGUACUGACGCUGAGGUGCGAAAGCGUGGGGAGCAAACAGG